ACAGCCCAUUGAUGAUUUGAGUAGCUACUCCAAAACCAAAAAUUGUCAUUCAUCAAUUCAUGAUCCCAUCAUUCUCAUUUGCAUGCGCAUGCAUCAAUUAUAAGCAUUUCUUUGCUUUUGGGUACCCAAGCCACUUCAGGGGGCUUUUAUUAUGUGAGAAUGUGGAUUAUAACCUCUAAUGGAGCGUUAUUUUACAUAGGGCGUGG
rnacentral:lncRNA from 1 species